rnacentral:sRNA from 12 species
CAGAGUUAGCAAUAAUACCCUUUUAGGGUGCUCGAGUGUUCCCUCCCGCGGAUGUGGAGACUUAAGCUCGGGAAUCCAUCCUAGAGACGCUACUCUG